rnacentral:tRNA from 1 species
GGUUGUGGCUCAGCGAUAGAGCACUCGCCUAAUACGGGCAGAGCCCUGGGUUCGAUUCUCAGCACCA